rnacentral:rRNA from 1 species
UACGAAGGGGGCUAGCGUUGCUCGGAAUCACUGGGCGUAAAGGGUGCGUAGGCGGGUCUUUAAGUCAGGGGUGAAAUCCUGGAGCUCAACUCCAGAACUGCCUUUGAUACUGAAGAUCUUGAGUUCGGGAGAGGUGAGUGGAACUGCGAGUGUAGAGGGUGAAAUUCGUAAGAUAUUCGGCAAGAACACCAGUGGCGAAGGCGAAUCUCUGGACAGUUACUGACACUGAGCACGAAGGCCAGGGGAGCAAACGGG